rnacentral:rRNA from 1 species
GCAAGUCGAACGAGCAAGUGCCGUAGUAAUACGGAUUACUGCUAGUGGCAGACGGGUGAGUGUACAUGGGAAUCUACCCUAGGGUGAGGGAUAACAGUUGGAAACGACUGCUAAUACCGCAUAAUGCCGAGAGGCCAAGAUUUAUCGCCAAAGGAUGAGCCCAUGCGAGAUUAGCUAGUUGGUAGGGUAAUGGCCUACCAAGGCUACGAUCUCUAGCUGGUCUGAGAGGAGAUC